UGCCCACCUCUGCCUCCCAAAGUGCUGGGAUUACAGGUGUGAGCCACCGCACCCAGUCAGCUCACUUAAUUUUCAUGGAAUACAGUGGGCAUUAUGAUCCCAAUUUUACAAGUGAGAAAACUGAGAAGGAGAGAGGUCCCCAAAGUUGCCUAAAGUCACACAGUAAGUGGUAGAGUCAGGAUUCCAGCUGAAGUCUGCUUCCAAAUCCCACCUUCUAACCGCUGCCACUAGACUGCUGUGUCUGCUGGGGUGUUAGGUCACAGGAGAAAAGAGAUAAUGGCUUUGUGACCCGGGAGCUCCGCCUUCACCUCCUCCUGCCAUCCUCAGCAUGAGCCAGCUGCAUGAGGGGUGCUGUGUGCUGGGCUGGAGGAUGGAGCCAUGUGCCACUCCCUCCGAGGCACGCUGUGAAGGUGCAAGUGGUGUGUUCUGAGAGUGCGGAGGAUGAAAACUUCUCACCCAGCUUUCUACAUUCAAGUUUACAAGUGCUGCUCAGGACCCACUGAUUAUUUCCAGGGGAAGAUCACCAAACCGCCUAAGGCCGAGACUCCCAGGAUAGCGCAGCAUGCCCCGGAGUCCCCCAGCUCGAUUUGCUCAGAACUCAGAAAGAAAACAGCCCACACUCCUUGAACUUCAGGCACUGAUGGAGGCAUUUUCCAAAGAACAGUGACAAGGACGGCCAGCACCUCUCUUGCAUUCCUCAGUCUGACUCAAGCUGCUCUUCCACCCUCCUCCCCAGCUGGAGCUGAGGCUGAAGGCAGUUGAGGGCCACCAGGGAGAAGAGCUGGGUCAGGGCCGUGACUUGCCAGCAAGCAUGAGGCCAAGCAGAUGUGCCGGGACGUACGAAUGAUGUUAUUUCUGGCAAGGAGGACACGGCUGCUGUGGUUGAUUGGCUGUGGAAUUCCAGGGGAGCAAGGCACUAGGAAGUGGGGAACGCUGCCAGGCCCAGCAGCUCAUCAGGAGCUUGCACUUGGCCCAGUUAGGGCUGGCCGUGGGACGGGCUUGUUGAAGCUGCUGCCGCCAUAAGCUGCCCCUCUGCACCAGGAGACAGAUCCCAUUACCCCACCUACAGCUGCUUCCUGGUACAAGAGAAGAGUUACCAUUUGAAAUGACUCCACAGGAGAGUCUGACAAACAUGUUUGCUUUUCACUGACAAUUAAAAUUGUUUUGCUGCUAAUCUUGUUUUAUUGUGGUCUUUCAUCCAUCAGCAAGCAUCCCUGCACGCAAGAUCAGAGUUGGGUAAAUACAUCCAGACCCUGCCAGGAUUAGGGCAAGAGGGAGUGCUCUGGGCCGGCAGAUCUUUUUCGGAAAUUCUCACUUCUUGGAGCACUAAAGGGUUGUUAGUCUAUCUGGGCAAGCCUCGUUUCCCUGGAGAAAAUGGAGUCUCAGAGAUUAGUGACUGGUCCUAGAGCUAAUGAGUGACCAAAGUGUGACCAGAGCCCAGGUCUGCUUCUCAACCCAGGGCACUUUGAUUCCAGAUUGAGAUGUAAGGUGACAGGUGCCUUAAUAGUGGCGCAAAAGAUGUGCAUUCCCCUCUUCCUCCCUCCCCGCUCCCUGCUCCCCCAGCGGCACCCUGACCUUCCUCAAAUGCAGAAUCAAGAUUUCAGCAGGGGGGCCAGCCCUUUCCCUGCCCCACCCUCCUCGAAUUCAGUGACUCAGGAGUGGGAAGGGGGUUAGCUAUGCCCUUAGAAGGGGGCCAGCUUCUGCAGAGGCCACUGGAAAACUCAUCAGGAUUCUCACUCACAAAGCCACUGCCACAUUCUAAGUAGGAAGUCGGAGUUGGAAAUGAGGCUGGUGUGAGACACAAUAAAUGGCUCAUCGCCAGGAAACUGGGGAGUAGGGCGGCCAAGGGAGGGCGGCGAGCGUGGAAUCCCAAGGCUAAGUCACGUCCCUCCCAUCCUCAGGACUGGGCUGUUGCUCUGGUGAGAUGAAUGAAGAUCCUGCUCCACGGCGUCACAGGUGGAUGCUUACAUAGAAUGCCGGGCUCUGGGGGACUUGACGUGGUUUCAGCCGCUGCAGCAUCGCCCCACAGAGAUUCUGUGCUCUUCCUGUUCACCAGCCCGCUGUCUGCCAUGGGGAUUGGUCACGUGUUAACCACCUUUCGUUCAAGCUGUUUCGGGAUCAGACUUUUCCUUCUCUGGUACAUGGGAGACCUUUCCUCUCUGCAGCUCCUGAAUGUACAAAGCCCCUGGUGCCUACCCGUGGUUACUGUGUGUGUGUGUGUGUGUGUGUGUGUGUGUGUGUGUCUGUGCGCGCGCGCGCGCGUGCGUACACCUGGGAACGGUUAUGCACACCCUCACAGGACUGCAUCCACACAAGCUACUCGGCGUGGUGGGCUGGGCCGAGAGACAGUCAGCUGGUCUCUUUGCUAAGCUACCAGAAGUCGGCUAACAAAAUGAAAAAACUUCUCCAGCAGGGGGCGCUGGUUCCUAAGUCAGAGAAAGGAUUUCGGGGAACACAAGGUUAGACACUUUCUGGUGCAGUCCCCACAAGCCACCUUAGGCUUUAAAGUCAACUUGACACGUCCCACGAGGAAGGGGGCAGGUGAGAUGUGAUACGUUCAGGAAUCAACGACCCUACGGGAGCAGCUACAGUGACAGCAGUAGCUAUGGUAACCAACGUACAAAGCUGGGCUGUGAACUAGCUGUUGGAGUCGUUUCAGCAAGCGCGUCCUGAAGCAGUGCCGUUGACGCCCCGCCCCUCGCUUCUCCAAUGCUGGAAUUGUAGCUCUCACUUCUCUCCUUGCCCUCUGUCCCCUUUUCCUAGGCACGGAUGCUUCAUCUCCCGAGGACCCGGGAGGCCUCCUGAGCCUUUGCUGAGCUUUCCCUGGUGCUCCUUUUUGCAGUCCAGCGAAUCCAGGGGACUGGGGCACACUGCAAGGGGUUGUGGUGGUGCUGGGGCUGCCAGAGGAGUGUCCCAACCAAGAAACUGGCGAAGCUGCAGACUCGACCUAGCAGUCCCCCACCUCUGGCCCACAGAGUUGGAGCCAGGCCCUGUCUUGGUUCUCAAUGCACUCAAAAGCUUAAAUCCUAGUAAACCCUCCACUGCGGAGCGAGAAAA
rnacentral:lncRNA from 1 species